rnacentral:rRNA from 1 species
CCAGUAGUCAUAUGCUUGUCUCAAAGAUUAAGCCAUGCAUGUCUAAGUUCACACUGUCUCACGGUGAAACCGCGAAUGGCUCAUUAAAUCAGUCGAUGUUUAUUAGAUGAAAACUAUCCUACUUGGAUAACUGUGGCAAUUCUAGAGCUAAUACAUGCUUACCAAGCUCCGACCCUCGUGGAAAGAGCGCUUUUAUUAGUUCAAAACCAAUCGCCGUUGCCCUUCGCGGGGCGCGGCGUCCCGAUUGGUGACUCUGGAUAACUUUGUGCUGAUCGCAUGGCCUUGUGCUGGCGACGCAUCUUUCAAAUGUCUGCCCUAUCAAAUGUCGAUGGUACGUGAUAUGCCUACCAUGUUUGUAACGGGUAACGGGGAAUCAGGGUUCGAUUCCGGAGAGGGAGCAUGAGAAAGGGCUACCACAUCCAA